AUGAAGGAAGGAACCAGUGAGGCCGCUCCUUACCAUUUAACUGGAAUUAACCGAUGCGAGUCCAAGAAGGAUUGGCCGGUGCUGCCGGUUGGCUUCAAGUUCGAUCCCACAGAUCGGGAGCUAAUCGAGCACCUUGAGGCCAAAGUGAGUGCAGACAGGGCGAGAUCUCACCCUCUCAUCGAUUUGUUCAUACCAACCAUCGACAGCGAGCACGGCAUAUGCUACACCUAUCCGGAGAAACUUCCAGGUAUCACACUGAGUGGCCUAAGAAAGCAUUUCUUCCAGCGAAACUCCAGGGCAUUCAAAAGGGGCAUGCGGACUCGUCGCAAGAUACAGUCGGAGUGUGGCAUGCACGCGAUGUGGCACAAGACCGACAAUACCUUGCUGGUGAUGGUCAACAGCCGGCAGAUAGGCAGCAAAAAGGUUUUGGUGCUGCACACGAACAAGAACUUCGACCAGCAGAGGACCAACUGGGUGAUGCACCACUACCACCUCAGGGACCUGGAGCAAGAGAAGGAGCAGGAGAUGGUCUUCUGCAAGAUUUCCUACCAGACGAACACUAGGGCCAGGACUAAAAAGAUUAUAAGUUAG
rnacentral:rRNA from 1 species